UUCAUUUAGUGCUAAACUUGGCGCAAAUAUUCAACUGUUUUUGGGUUCCUAAAAUGCUGACAUUCAUGUUUUGGUCUGAUAGAUCUUAUGCUUGCUUGACAUGCGCAUUCGAGUUGGGUCUUAUUCUCUUUGAAUGCCAUCACUGCUGCUGGGUUACUUUUGACUUUUAUGCAUAAGCAGCUUUGAAACUAUUAUCACCACCUUGCCUAGGCAAUUACAGUAAUGAGAGGUGUUUUGCUGUUGGAUGGGCAUUUGGAGUACUAAUGGUGAGUGUCCCAUCAUUGGGAGUGUGCCUUUUCCUACUGAGGAACAGAAGCUGUCUGAUACAUAGAUGAUUAUUUGGGUUACCCUGUUUUUCAGUGUCUUGUUAUAUUGGAUGUGAUCGGG
rnacentral:misc_RNA from 1 species